GUGGGGAAUCUUCCACAAUGGACGAAAGUCUGAUGGAGCAACGCCGCGUGAGUGAAGAAGGGUUUCGGCUCGUAAAGCUCUGUUGUCGGGGACGAAUGUGCAGUAUUUGAAUAAAGUACUGUAAUGACGGUACCUGACGAGGAAGCCACGGCUAACUACGUGCCAGCAGCCGCGGUAAUACGUAGGUGGCAAGCGUUGUCCGGAAUUAUUGGGCGUAAAGGGAGCGCAGGCGGGAAGGUAAGUCGGUCUUAAAAGUGCGGGGCUCAACCCCGUGAUGGGAUCGAAACUAUCUUUCUUGAGUGCAGGAGAGGAAAGUGGAAUUCCUAGUGUAGCGGUGAAAUGCGUAGAUAUUAGGAGGAACACCAGUGGCGAAGGCGACUUUCUGGACUGUAACUGACGCUGAGGCGCGAAAGCUAGGGGAGCGAACGGGAUUAGAUACCCUAGUAGUCC
rnacentral:rRNA from 1 species